AUGAUGAGCACCCUGGGAAUAUCGAGUGUCGAGAAUGAGAGUGAGUACAUAACUCUCUGGUAUACAGAGAUUUCUUGCUUCCUGGGUCAGAAAAGUACAACACAAGACCGGUCUUUCUCAUCGCACACCUCUGCCUCAUCAGGACUCUGCCCUUUUCUACACGGAGAGCCGCAGGAGGGAAUGGCUGCUGUGUCUCCACUUGCCAGAUGCCAGGUGAGGUGGACUUUUGUGUUUCUGAAAUACUCUGUCUCCAGAAUGUAACCACUUUUCUUUCCCUGUUCUGGAGCUUCUUUGAUUGGACCCAACCAGGUGGAUUAAGCACUCCAUGGGAGUGCUUCCUUGCUAUUUGACUUGUGGUAACCUUCAGGGAUCUUUUCUUACCUUGAACAUGUGCCCACUAGCCCAUCACCAGGCAUGCAGCCCCUGUGGCCUUCGCUCUGAGUGAUUUUGCCUAAAACCCGAUGGUAUGGGUCUGAGUAGAAGGUUUCGGGAACAGCAGGCUGGUUCUAUUCCUGACUUCCCUGUAGUACAUCCAUGUAUGGACUGAGAGUGAGCCCCCAUAUCCUAGGGAGUGUUGGGUUUGGCAGGGGAAUGUGACACUCACGGUAAAGCACCUCAGUGAAGCUGAAAGAAUCCUGAAAGAGAGUUUGUGUGGGUAGAGACAUGCGGCUUGCCCCAUUCCUGCCCAAGGGCAGAGGGUCUUGAAUUCUGUGCUCUGGCUUAGAUCUUCUGCAGAGACACUGGAGACUCAUCUGGGGUUAUAGGAUUGGGGUAAAGGUACAAUCAUAGAGUCACAGAGCAUCAGAGUGAAAUGAGAGGGAUCCUGAAGAUGAUCUAAUCAACAUCAUUAUUUUAAGGAUUUGUAAAAAAAACAGACAAGGGGCUGGCCUGUGGUGUGGUGGUUAAGUCUGGUGCACUCCACUUCAGUGGCCCAGGUUCACAGGUUUGGAUCUCAGGCACAGACCUACACCACUCAUCUGCAGCCAUGUUGUGGCAGUGACCCAAAUACAAAGUAGAGGAAGAUUGGCCCCGAUGUUAGCUCAGAAUGAAUCUUCCUCACCAAAAAUAAAUGAUUAAUUUUUUAAAAGCCA
rnacentral:lncRNA from 1 species